CAUUGGCCAUGGCUCAUGUUCCCCCCCACGCCUGGCAUGGGGUAUAACCAACCCCUGGUUGGUGCCCCGGUGGUCUCAGGAACACGCAUCCAUAAUAAACACAUGUCUCUACCCAAGUUCCGUGUCGCUAUUUCGUCUGUUCCCGUGCUAGAACUGAGCCUCGCAGAGCCGAAGGGGAAAGCGGCCACCGCCUCUCCUCUCCUCCCACCGUGCUCCUGCAGGCACCUGCCCAGAGCCGGUGUUGCAUGGCAACAAAUUGUAGCAGAGGAUGGUUGUUUCCAUUGAUUUGUGAAACGGGGGAGAGAGAAAGAAAUUCUGCUGCCGUAAGAGCUCUGCAGACACUAAGAGGAGUGACGUGCCGGGUGGAAAACAAAACCGAAGCUCUGGGGACCCUCUUCCGUCCUCGCCGGUGUGCUCUCUACCCUGCCCGGGAGCAGCUGCACUGCGGGGGCAGCCGGACUGCAGGGGCCGGGAGCCGGGUAGACUUACCCGAGGAACAAAGAGGACAGUUUGGCAGUGGCUUGAUGAACUGAGCUCGAAGAGUAGCCCAUCAGAGGACAGCAUCUGAAUGGAGACCAGAGGCUGACAGUGGCCGAACCCAGAGUUUCAGGGACGAACUCUGGUUAACAGGAACAUCCAGGCUUCUGGGAGAGCCAAACCAUGAAGGAAUACGUCCUCAGUUCAGCGCGAUGUUCCACCACCGAGGAGAGAGAGAGAGAUUUCACCACCUGAGCCCAGAAGGAGUGAGCUUGCUAAGAAGAUACAGACCCUGCUGCCUGCAGUGGAACUGGGCUGCAAGUUAGCUCAUCACUCAAAAGGGAGCAACUCCCUUAGGGAUGGAAGCAGAGGGGGAAGGUAAGAGGAGAACACUGUAAAUAACUGGGUAUUUUCCCAUUCUCAGUGUCCGGAAGGCUAAUCCUGAGCUACCUGGGGUACUUGGGGUAGGGAUCCCAUGACGUAAGGGGGAUUUUUGCUGCAGCAAAGAAAACAGAGCUUAGAUAUUUCCUUUAGUGUAAAUAAAUAUGUGGGGGAACUUCCAGAAUAAGCAGAAGCAGCAGGCAUUGUGGAGCUGGGCAAUUUUGUCUGUUAGGAAGAUAAUAUCUAAAUGGUCUAAUUAUAGCUCCAGUUCAGCAUACUCAGGGAAUCCCCACCAUUACUCUUCAGUAGCUGCUGCUGUAAAUUUACAGGACCUGCUUGAUAAUUUAUGUUUACUACAAGCCUGUCAAACUACAAAUUUUUCUGUGGGAACCCCGACCUUAUUCUGGGUUCCCAUGUGGUGGUGAAAUUCCUCCUCCAACCCGUGCUUCCAAAGAAAAACUCCGC